UUUAGUUAUUCCACUGUUGUUAGAUUUUUAGGUAAUCUUCAAAUUCUUCUCGUUACAGCCGAUGGUGUUCACGAUUUUUUACUAAUUCAUGUUUUUCUGCAUUUGCAUCAAUUGAUGCUUUUAUUUUUAUCGAUACGGUAGUUUUAAAAUUAAUUUAAUCCAGGAGGACCUUCUUUGAGAAAGAGCUUGAUGGAGCGAAACAAUAUGCUGCGAUAUCUAUGGGACAGCAUGCCAGCUUCCUUCACUGAAGGGUUUUCUGGAGAUUAAGGAUCAUCUGUACUGUGAGAGGCAUCUUCUGGGCAUGUGUGGCACUUCACUAUGGACAACUAAGCUCCCUCGGAUACCCACCUCUUGCGCAUCAUACAGGCCAAGAUUCAGUGUCUACCAUGUUGAACAACACCACUCUAGGCAGAGAAAGCAAGAUGAACAAAAAAGCACUGAAGAUCAAGAGAGUAUGAGAACUUGCUUUGGAGGUGGCCAUUUCUCUAGUCUGGCAGGAGUAAAGCUGGAUGAUAAAAUAAAGGUAGGAUUAAAAGAAAAUAGCUCAGUAAGAUUUUGGAAGAUUUUACCUAUUAGGCCAUUUGGAACAGGCAAUGAAAGCUUAUGAGUAUGUUGACUC
rnacentral:lncRNA from 1 species